AUGAAGCAAAGCAAAGCCCUAAACACUUUAGUUUCCAUAUUUGUGAUGUGUAUGACAUUGGACGUAGCGGUGCCAAAGAGGUGCGCCAUGAACACUUCAGACCUGGCAGCGAGCACACACCGGUGUGCAGCGAACGUCUUGCCGCCGACCUCGAAUGUCACAUCAGCACCCACCUUAUUCCGAAGGAGAUCGCUAAAAUGUUGGUGCAUGUCAGGCAGGAGAACCUCGGUACCGGUGCCGGAGCCAAUGGCAUCUGGCGUGUUGUCCUUGCACACCACAAUAUCACACCGGAUGGUGAAACAAUCAGACUUUAGACUGGCCGAUCGCUCAAGGGCAGCUUCUCUCAUGAACUUGUCGCAACCCCAACAAGGUCACAUCUGCGGAAGUCAUGGGUUUUACGAGUCGCACGGAUGUACGUCGGCAUCUGCUUCUCGACGUCAUCGACGAGACUGA
rnacentral:rRNA from 1 species